GCUCCAGUGGCGCAGUCGGUUAGCGCAUGGUACUUGUAAUGCCGAGGUCGCGAGUUCGAGCCUCGCCUGGAGCA
rnacentral:tRNA from 1 species